rnacentral:rRNA from 1 species
AUGGAUCUGAAUAUUAUCGCCACGAAUAAACCAGCGAUUGCACCUAGUGCUGGUGUGAGGGGGAUUGACCGUUGGAUCCCACCUCCCCUGGGAACUACCAAAAUAAACCCAGAUGGUGUUGUGUCAAAAUCCAUAAAGAAAGGUGAUGUCGGUGUUAUAUGCAGGGAUGAUCAUGGUGUUUUUAGAGGGGCAUCAGCAGUAGUUUAUGAAGGGGUAACAGACCCGGCCACACUUGAGGCCUAUGCAUGCCGAGAAGCUCUAGUUAUCGCUGAAGAUCUCAUGUUAAGCAAGCUCAAGGUUGCUUCAGACUGUCUGAGACUCAUCAGUGAUCUUCAAGCACCCAUCCAGUUUGGAAGCUACUGUAUGGUUUUGAGGGAGAUUCAAGACCGACGUAGCAAGUUUCAGGCUAGUGAAUUUUGCCACGAACAACGCACAUGCAAUAAGGAGGUUCAUGCAUAG